UUAAAUUGAAGAGUUUGAUCAUGGCUCAGAUUGAACGCUGGCGGCAGGCCUAACACAUGCAAGUCGAACGGUAACAGGAAGAAGCUUGCUUCUUUGCUGACGAGUGGCGGACGGGUGAGUAAUGUCUGGGAAACUGCCUGAUGGAGGGGGAUAACUACUGGAAACGGUAGCUAAUACCGCAUAACGUCGCAAGACCAAAGAGGGGGACCUUCGGGCCUCUUGCCAUCGGAUGUGCCCAGAUGGGAUUAGCUAGUAGGUGGGGUAACGGCUCACCUAGGCGACGAUCC
rnacentral:rRNA from 1 species